GCGCGUCCCAGCACGCGGGGCAGGGCCCGGCGCCCACUAGUGCCCCGCUUUCGGGACCGGGACCCCGCCGGAUCCCGGGCCCAGACCUUAACGCCGCGCGAAGGAGAUGCGGCGCGGGGCGCUGAGGGGCGACAGCUGCGGCCACCGCGACCCCGGCCUUCUGGACCCGAGCUCGGAUGUAGCUGGAUAUCCUGUAUUACCUGGCAAGCCUAUCUUGCUCCUGUGUGGGAAGGACAGGAGAGGAGCCUCCUAGCCAUUCCAGCCCCACCCCCUCCCGGCAGAGCUCCCGCACCUCCAAUAGGCUGAAAUACCCAGUUCACUCCUGUUCAGAGUCAGGUCAAGAGGAGAUGCUGUAUGCAGAAGGUGGCAAGAAAGCAAACAGGUCCUCACGGAGGGCAGAGGUUGAAGAUGUGAGCUUCUCUCUCUGGGCUCUCUCCCCUCCCUCCGUGGCUUCCUGUGUGGCCUGAGCUUCCCUGGGCCACCAGGAAGCAGAUGAUAAUCUCCAGCCCCUCAGAGUGUGGCCAGUUUCCCGGCCCCCUCUGGGAACCUGUGCAAGCUACAGCCAGCCACAGGAAGGCCCAUGCAGCCCCAGCCCACAUUGUGCUUUGGGGACAGUUAGACGCCUGAGCCCCCAAGCCCCGGAACUCCCCUCUCUGGGGCUGGGGAGGGUCACUCCAGAGCCCUCUCCAGGGCCCUCGGAGCAAGAGAGCCCACCCGCUGCAGCCAGGGAGGCCUGGGCAGCCCCAUGGCCCCUCACCACCGCCACAGCCAUGCCUGCUGCAAGGGGGGUUGGAACCGACUCGUUCCAGGCCGGAUCUCAGCAAAGCUGCCAUGUACUGGGACGGCCACAGGUGCACCAGGCUCUGGAAGUGUGACUAUGAGCACGCCCGGUUUCUACGCCCCGGAGGCUCUCGGGGAGACAGAUGUGCCAGUGCCCGUGGCCCUACUCACUGAACGCUAUGCUGAACGCUGAGGCCUUGCUUUGGGAAAGAAAGGGGAGGGCAGGCCUGGAGGGACGACCAGGACCAGCCAACAGGAGGAGGGCACGUUCCAGGCAGAAGGAGCGAGAGAGGCAGGAAAGACCCAGAGCUCAGGGUCUGCCUGACACGCCUGUGGGGCAGCUUCCGCAGACCACUGAGUCAUCAGGGAAAAGAUGGAGUCUGACCGGAGUCGCAAACACUUUUCACUUUGCCAAGUAAGACAUUUAAAAAAAAUAUGUCAUUUUUUCACGCCACCAUUUUAUCAAAGAAGUAAUAUUUUAACUGCAAAAAAAAAAAAAAAAAGAAAAAAAAAGGAUAUUUGGGAUAAAAUAUAUUGUGACCAAGAAAAGACAACUGGCCACGUGGCUGAUACAUGCUGAUUGAUUUUUAUAUCUGACUAUUCUUGUUUUGCUCCCUUUCUUGCUGACUCUCGAACACUUUAUCAAGGCCAGAGUCGCCAGCGAUGGGCCUCCGGGAGCACUGACACAGGGACCUGAGGAGGGAGGGCCAGGACUGGGGCUGUGGAGGAGGCAGGGGCCACACCAGGGAGGACUUUGGACUUCACACUGAGGAGUGUGGAUUUUAUCCCUUGGAGAACAAGGGGAGCGAUUUGCCAACAGAUGCUGUUUUCAGGUUUGUGCUUUAGGACACGCGUCCAUUCCCAGGCUGCCGGUGAGAAAGGCCUUCAGGGAGAGACGGGAGGGGGAGAACAGAGGUGGGGCCCGUGAGAGAUGAUGAGGGUCCGUAGGUGAGGACAGUGGCAGUGGGACUGGGAGGGGGGCUGGGCGCUGCCGUGAGCAGGUGAGGUGAGAGGAGCCACACAGAACCAGGAAGAGGAAGGUGUCAUGUCUAAGUUCAUGCAGGGACUGCAGCAGAGAUCACCUCACCAGGAGCAAAACCAGGAGAUGGGGGUUUAAGAUUUGAGAUUAAAAAUAAGAACUUCCUGACUCUAAGGAGGAUGGCAUUUGACAUAUCCCGUGACAGUGAAUGGACAUGGCAUUCUGGAGGAGAGAGCAGGCAGGGACGGGGACAGUGCAGUGGCUCGCAGUGGGGGUGUUUAUCUGACUUUGCAUUUGGGCUCCCCCACUUGGGUGGCCUUAGUCACCUUAUUAACCUUUUUGUGCCUCAGUUUCCUCAUCUGUAAAAUGGGAAUCAAAUAGUAGCUAACUCGUAGGGUUGCUAGGAGAUUGAAAAGAAUGAAGAUAUAUAAAGCUCUUAGAUGCCUGGUUCAGUGGAUGUCGCCUGAUAUUAACAUCCAUCACUGUAUCUCCAGCACCCGCAGCAUAGGACAGACCAUUAAUGUUGGUGAAAUGGACAAGGAGGUAUGAUCGGGGCAAAUGCCAGGCCGGCUUUAUGGAAGGACAAGGGUCUAGGACAGGACUUCAAAUGUUCCUCAGUCCUCUGCAGGCAGCCCUCACGUGCCUCUCCACAUUCACUGAGCAGGGAUUUAGAUGGAAAAUAUGGUGGGCUUGGGGAGGAAGAGGGAUACAACCUGGAGGUUCUCUGAGAUGGAUGUUCUCUGGGGUCCAGCAGCAUCUCAACAGGCAGAAGGCAGGCAGAGAAAAGGCACAAAUCCCAGGGAGGCCAAGUGGACCAGAGGCCCCAUAGCAGCUGUGGGGGUGGGGAUGAGAAGGGCUGACUUCUUAGUCACCCACCUCCUCACUCCAAAGGACCAGCAGCCUCCAACACCAAGUCUUCAUCUCCUUUCCCUCCCACCACUCAAACCUGCUUCUAGAAUCUUCCUCUCCUAGGAACAUGUCUUUCAAAGCAUUGUCACCCCCGUCAACUCCUCCACCCUUCCCCUCCAACCGGCCAGCUCCUGCCUCCUCUCCGUCCUACCUCCCUUGGCACAACCCUCAAUCUACCACUUCCCUGAGACUCUGGGGGACCCUAGCCCACUGUCUUCUCCCACCACCUCCAGGCCCUCUCAGUUUGCUAAUCACAUCUUCCCUGAUGGCCCUAAAAUGUAAGUGUGGCCAGGGCACUGCCCAAGCCGAAGCCUUCCUUAGGACGAAGUCUGACCACCCACCUCGGCUUUGGCAGCCUCAGCCUGCUUUUCCAGCCUCUACUCACAUCCUAGUGCUGGGCAGUAUAAAUUUCUCUUUCCUCUGUUCAAAAUGUGUCUUUCAACAGCUGGCCCGAUCGGAUCAACUCCUACCCCUUCUGUCAGUGCUCACCCCAAGCACACCCCAAGCAGGGGCUCUAAGGGCCUUCACAACUUCGGGAAUUGCUUGUUAAACAUCCGGGUAGUUGAUGUCGGUGAGACUCUCUGGCAUAAGCUCAGUGGUCUCGGGAGAGAUGUUUAGAGGAACCAGUGAGAGAAAGGAAAGCAGGGAAACAAGUUUAAUGAAGACUUGGCAAAAUUAGGCAAUAGGAGACAGGACAGCUAUGAGUCAAAGAUUACUCAGAGGUGUCAAGGCUAGUGUAGGCAUCACUCGUAAGAGUUCCCAACCAUUUUUCUCCUCCCAAACAUUCCCUGGUUAAGGAAUCCCAUGUUUUGAAAUACUGAAUCAAUUUCACAAGCUGUACUUAUUCAAAGGAAAAAGUAUCCCAUUUUAAUAGCCAAACACCUGUCUCCUGUCAGUCAUCAGACACUUAGGCAGGCUAAGCCCCCUGACUAGAAGAAGUGAUUUAGCUUCGGGGGGCUGGAAGUGCUUCUAAGAAGAGGUGUGCCUUUCGGCCAGAAUCCCCUCUUCCAACAAGGUGCCAAAAUGUCCGGCCCAAAAGGAAAGAAGAGAGGCAGCACGGUGCGUUCUAGGCCUUUUAGAAAACGCAGAGUCGCUCCUUUGGCCACAUACAUGCGAAUCUUCAAGAAAGGUGAAAUUGUCGACAUCAAGGGAAUGGGCACUGUUCAAAAGGGACUGCCCCACAAAUGUUACCAUGGCAAAAUUGGAAGAGCCCUCCGUGUUACCCAGCAUGCUGUUGGCAUCGUUGUAAACAAACAAGUUAAGGGCAAGUUUCUUGCCAAGAGAAUUAACGUUACGUCCUGAGCAUCUUAAGCGCUCCAAGAGCCAAGAUAGUUCCUGAAACGUGGGAAGGAAAAUGAUGAGAACAAGAAAGAAGCUGAAGGGAAAGUUACCUGGGCUCCACAGAAGCACCAACCUGCUCUCCCCAGAGACCCACACUUGGGGAGAACGGCUGGGCAGAAGCCUGAGCCGCUGGAACCUGUUGCCUAAGAAUUCAUGGUUUAAUAAGUGUAAAAAUAGGUUAGUGAGUAAACAAAUAAAUACAUGAAAGAUCUCUGGACUGGUUUUUCUAAAGGAGCUUGUGCCAAAGCUGAGAUUUAACUUGGGGUUCUGGUCCGAGGGGCAGGGAAAGACUCAGGUGGGGAAAAAAAUUCCAGAGUAAACACAUGAGUUUACAGUGAGGCUGGGGGCAGGAGGGUACAGAUUCAAAGGGGCUGUCCGUGCUCUGCUCUGGAACCUAUCCGAUCAGUAGGGGCUUUGACCAUGAUCUCAGGGGGCAAGAGCUACAGGGAGUGAAGAGGAGCCAGCCCAAAAGAUAAAAGCCAACAACUUUAAAAGUAAGACCUUCUGUGAUUGAGACACUCCAAGGAAAAGCAAACAAGUCACGAGCUGGGAAUUCUGUCUGCAGCACACUGAAAUGACAAAGGACUAUUAGCCAGGAUAUUUGAAGAACUGUGUGAGUCAAGAAGAAGAAGGAAAUCAUGGGCAAAGGAAACAAACAGGAGCAGCACAGAAGAGGAAGCACAAACGCCCCCUAGACACUGAGAAGGUAAUCCAGCCGCAGCAGCAGCAAGGGACGGGAAACGUGUCCUACGCACAGAAUUGGUACAAACUUAAAAACUGGACAAGAAUAAGUGUUGGUGAAGAUGGGGAACGGCACAGGGGCUCUCACCCACGGCUGGUGGGAGUGCAGAUCAGUAGGAGUAUUUUGUUUUGUUUUGUCUUUUAUUUUUAUUUUAAGUAGGCUCCACGCCCAACAUGGGAACCCACAACCCUGAGAUCAAGAGUCGUACAUUCUGCCGACUGAGCCAGCCAGGUGCCCACAAUAUACGUAUUUGAGAAAGCAGUUUGACAUUUGGACGCCCUUGAACUUUUGCUUGUCUUUGAACAUCUGCAUACCCUUGACUCAGCAAUUUUACUCCCAGUAUAUUCCCCAGAGCAAUAUUUCUCAAUGAAGACCAGUUUUGAUUUUAUUUUACUUUUCAAUAUGCUGGGGAAACCGUCCUUUUGUAAAUUACAAUAAAAAUGAAUUUCUGAAAAAUGAAGUGAAAAAAAAAAAAAAGACAUGCAAUCUACAAGCCCUGAUAUUUUAUUAUUCAAUUCAACAUCCCUACCGGUUAUGUUUACCGAGGAGACAUGUCCGAGCGUGUUACAGGCACACUGUUUUGCAA